CCUCGACUUUAGGACACUGAGAUCCAUUUUAGACUUCUGACCCACAAAACCAAAACCUAGUAAGUAUGUGCUGUUUGAAGUUGCUAAGUUUGUAGUAAUUUGUUAGAGCAGCCACCAGAAAUUUAUAUGGGGAGGAAAUGGGGAUUUCAUCUGUCCAUGGUCAAGACAUUCAGGGUGUGGUAAGAAUCUGAGCCUGCCUCACCUACAUGAGAAUGAGAGAGUAAUGACCACAGAAUAGUGGUAAUGGCAGCCCACAUAUCUGGCUCCUUAGCCACUCAUGACAACAUGGACUGGCUGCCUUCUAUGUCCUGCCCGUGGCCAUUCUUUAGGGAAAUUCCUUUGCAUCUCCUGCUACCUUUACAGACUACAUAUCUUGUUGGAUUACUUUCUCAUUUUCAUGAAGCAUAUCUUCUGGUAACUUCUGAUAAAAGAUGCAUAGGAGAUACAUAUUUUAGGACUUCUGCAGUACCAGAAGGAUAGUUGAGCUGGGUAUAGAAAUGCUUUGUUAGUUCUUCCUACUCUCUGUUUUCUUUCUUCUUUAUUUUUGGAACUUGAUACUUAUAUGAGCUUUCUUCUGCCCAUUUAAUCUGUGUGUCCACCAAUUGGCUUUGUUCUAUCUGUUUUGAUAUGUCUUUCCUGAGGCAUCUGCUGAUCCUAUGCUUUCUGCCCAUGAUGAGGAGCUGACUAGAAGAUCUGACAGUAAGAAAGGAGGGAUACAUUGUCCUUGAGCCUCAUGGAUGGGGAUGAUCCUGAGAACCUUGGAUGCCAGUUAUCUUUAGGAACCGACCUGAUUACCAGAGAAGUUACCCAAGGAGUAAGGGAGGGGUCUGGUUGCCAGUCUUCUUGGAGUCAACGUGGAGUUGAAGGAAGGGGUCUUUGAAGUCAGCUGCCUGAAUUCUGGGAAAUAAACUUCUGGACUUUUGCUGGCGUUGGGGAGGAGUGGUCCCUCAGGGAAGAUAAGGAGGGUAUAGGAAUCUAACUGGGUCAUAGGCCCCUUUCACUCUAGCCUUCCUGAUCAUAGCCACCCUUGCACCCCAAGUCCUAGAGGUACUCUUACACCCAGCCCUCAGUGUUGGAGUUCCCCUUGGUUACAAAGCUGGUAAAAUAUCACCUUCUUUCUCUCUAGUCAGGACUUUCUCUUGUCUCUGACCCAGUUGCCACAGGUCCAGGUCCAUCAGCAAUUCAGCUUUCAGAAAGGAGGCCCACCCUCACGGGUUCAAGUACAGUCCCUAGUCUGUCACUCCCAGGCCUGUGACCCUGGGCAUAGGACCCAAGAAAGAGAGGUGAUACCCACCUCUCAGGAUUGCUGCCCAGAACAAAUAAAGUGAUGGGCUUUAUAGAAAGAGCAUAACCAUACCGUGAUCAUUUACCCUCUUUCUUGGAAGGUGGAUUCCUUCCAGAAGAUGCCCUAAGCAUUGGUCCAGCUGCCUCUCAGCCCAACCCUGACCAGCCGUGGGGAGCCACGCCCAUCCCAGAGGUAUGCCUGCUGGGUGGCAAUGGGGCCUAAGAGGACCAGGGUCUGUGGGGGUCCAUAUGCUGGCAGAGGAGCCAGCUGCUCCUCGGGUUGGGACCAAGGAGGGGAGCCAAGGUUUACCUGCCUGCUUUGCCUCAGUGAUGGCCAGAACCACGCCCAUUGGGAUGGCUGUGGUCCAGAGAGAGGGCAUCCCAUCCAGCCAGGCCCCUCUGCCAAUGAAUAUGCCUGUGAGAGGCUUAGGGGCUUGGGAAAAGGGGCUGUAUUUAAAAAUUAAAUGGUUCUCAGUGUAACAUCAGUACACGGGGCCGUGCUGAGGCAGGAGGCCUGAGGGAAUGAGGACCUCAGGCAGGACUCUCCUUCCGUGUUCCAGACAUGGUACCAUCCAGCACCUCCUUCCUCAGACUGAUGAAAGUUUGUGAUUACAUCCCCCUAGUAUUUGACUUGCCUUGUCAUUUUCUUAACACUCUCUUUUGAAGAACCAACAUUUAAAUUUUAGCAACAUCCUAUUUUUUUUUCAUUUGUGAUUCGUGCUUAUGUUUUUGCCUUGUUUAAAAAAUGCUUUGCCUCACUCAAGGUCACCAAGAUUUUCUGCUAUGUUUUCUUCAUUGUUUUGCAUAUUUAUAGUUUUCAUUCUUAUAUUUAGAUAUAGGAUCUGUUUCAAGUUAGUUUUUUUAUGUGGUGUGAGGUAAGGGUUGACGUUAAUUUCUUUGCAUUUAAGUAUCCAAUUGUUGCAGUAUUAUGUGUUGAGAAGUUUAUGACUUUCCCAUUGAAUUGCUUUGGCAACCUUGUCAAAAAGUAAUUGGCCGUAUAUGUGUAGGUCUAUUUGUGGACUCUGUUCCAUUGAUCUGUGUGUCUCUCCUUUUGCCAAUUCCACGCUGUCUUGAUCACUACAGCUUUAUGAUAGCCAUGAGUUAUAGUGUAAGUCUUCCAACUUUUGUCUUGUUUUUCAACAACAUUUUAGGCUAUGUUAAGUCCUUUGCAUCUCCACAUAAACAUUAAAACU